rnacentral:rRNA from 1 species
AUUGAACGCUGGCGGCAGGCUUAACACAUGCAAGUCGAGCGAGCGGCGGACGGGUGAGUAAUGUCUGGGAAACUGCCUGAUGGAGGGGGAUAACUACUGGAAACGGUAGCUAAUACCGCAUACCAUCAGAUGUGCCCAGAUGGGAUUAGCUAGUAGGUGGGGUAAUGGCCCACCUAGGCGACGAUCCAUAGCUAGUCUGUGAGGAUGACCAGCCACACGGGAACUGAGACACGGUCCAGACUCCUGCGGGAGGCAGCAGUGGGGAAUAUUGCACAAUGGGCGCAAGCCUGAUGCAGCAAGCCCGCGUGUGUGAAGAAGGCCUUCGGGUUGUAAAGCACUUUCAGCGAGGAGGCGUUACUCGCAGAAGAAGCACCGGCUAACUCCGUGCCAGCAGCCGCGGUAAUUC